rnacentral:rRNA from 1 species
CAUGGGAGUGGGUUGCAAAAGAAGUAGGUAGCUUAACCUUCGGGAGGGCGCUUACCACUUUGUGAUUCAUGACUGGGGUGAAGUCGUAACAAGGUAACCGUAGGGGAACCUGCGGUUGGAUCACCUCCUUACCUUAAAGAAGC